rnacentral:rRNA from 1 species
UACGUAGGGUGCGAGCGUUGUCCGGAAUUAUUGGGCGUAAAGGGCUCGUAGGCGGUUUGUCGCGUCGGGAGUGAAAACUCAGGGCUCAACCCUGAGCGUGCUUCCGAUACGGGCAGACUAGAGGUAUGCAGGGGAGAACGGAAUUCCUGGUGUAGCGGUGGAAUGCGCAGAUAUCUGGAGGAACACCGGUGGCGAAGGCGGUUCUCUGGGCAUUACCUGACGCUGAGGAGCGAAAGCAUGGGGAGCGAACAGG